CCCCAAUUCAGCCCCCAAAAGUCAAGCUGUCCAAUCCCCACUUCUCUGCAAAACCAAAGCACCCUAAAGCAAAUUCUUUGUAACUUCCUCUGCAAACCUCCAGCAGUUCCCACGUUCAUUUCUCUCCAAGUGCAGAGCCAACAACCAAACAAGAACACCCAUUGAAAAUUAUCACAAGGUAGCCACUUAACUUCUUUUUACCUCUGCUCAUAAAUCGAGCUUCAAGCUGCAAGCUUGUUCAAAGCUAUAUACAAUUUGACAUAUACAGAGCAACACAUUUCAAGCUUUUCAAUCAAACUGACAUAUACACAUUCAUAUACAUACAUCGCAUGUUUUAUAAAGAAAAGGUUGAAUCUUGAAGCAUCAAUUGUUCCUUGAUUUUAAGAUUACUCUGCCAAAAAGAAAAAGAAGAAAGAAUGAGUCUUGAGCUUUGUUUGUGCUUGUCGUUGUUUGAACGUUUGCUGUUGAUUUGAGUCGAAAGUGGAGGGAGGCAGAUGCGGUCGGCGGCGGUGGUUCUCCUGCUGCUGUCGGCUGGAGUUUUGAGGGAGAGGCGGCGAGGCAAGGGCCUUGUUGCCGCUCUGAGCCGGGUCGGGGCUGGGUUUUGUCGAGGGCGGAACGGCGGCGGCAGUCUGCUCCAUCAACUGCUGUCGGCCGGAGUGAGCAGAGAGUAGGGGGAUGGGUGACUGGUCUGGGCUGAGUUUUCACCGAGGGAGGCUAGGGCGCGGCGGCCCUGCUGCUGUCGCUCGGCCACGGACGGAGGGAGAGUAGAGUAGAGAGGGAGGGAGCGGCGAUCUCGCCGUUUCCAAGGAGGAAGACGACUCGGAUGGAGUGAGGUGAUGGUUUCGAUCUGAGAAGCGCGAUCAGUCGAGGGAGAGAGACUGAUGUGCACGACUGACGGAGGGAGGCGGCGGCGGUACCUAUCUUCGUUGCCAAGGAAGGAGGCCGGUCGACGGCUGCCUCGCCGGAGGGAGCUCCGACGGUGGAUGAAAUUUCGAGAGGAGGGAGAGAGAGGGCCGAGCAGUCGAGUGUGUGUGUGAGUGUGAC